AAGAAACAUAAGUAUUAUAAAAACUGAGAAUCAGGUACUUUGGCAGUGAGAGAGAAUCAUCCUAAGGACAUCAGAUAAGUAUCUGAUAAGCUGUAAAACACCUUGUUAACAAGGGGGCAGAGGUAGUCAUACGUGUGAAAACAGCUCUAAGGAGCCUCGAAAAUGAGCAGACCUACACGUAGUUAUUCAUAUAUAUGCAUUUAUUCCAGCUGAACACACAUGUUGACUGAAGAAAAACUCACAACCUAAAAGUUGCGAGUUAAGCUGUACUCCGGGAUCUUACUGAGAAUUCUAGCACAGGCGGCAGCCUCUCAGAUAUCCCUUAGGAGCUUCUCUGAAGAGGAAUUGUAUUGCCAAGAAUUGUAUUGUCAAAACAAGAAAAGAAAUUACAGACCUGGAAAACUUAAAAUUGUUCAACUCUUAGAGCACAAGCAGAAGUAAGCCAAACAAGUUGUGCAUCACCCAGCUGACAGCUGAUCUGAAGACGCACAUCUUUCAACAACUCUAGAAAAUUCUUAGGUAUGUUCAUCAGCUAUGUGUUGAAGAACAGUGUGGAAAGAAAAAGCUAAUAA